GGUUUCCUGGGGAAGGCUCGUCCGCCCAGGGUUAGUCGGGACCUAAGCCGAGGCCGACAGGCGUAGGCGAUGGACAACAGGUUGAUAUUCCUGUACCCGUUGUUUUUGUUUGAGCAAUGGAGGGACGCAGGAGGCUAAGAAGUGCAGACUGAUGGAUAUGUCUGUUCAAGCAGUAAGUCUUGGUAGGAGUCAAAUGCUUCUACCUAUACGGACAAGCUGUGAUGAGGAGGGAAAUAAUAGUACCGAAGCUUCUGAUGUCACACUGCCAAGAAAAGCUUCUAGUGAGAAAACAACGGCCCGUACCGCAAACCGACACAGGUAGUCGAGGAGAGAAUCCUAAGGUGAGCGAGAGAACUCUCGUUAAGGAACUCGGCAAAAUGACCCCGUAACUUCGGGAGAAGGGGUGCUGCUCUAACGAGCAGCCGCAGUGAAUAGGCCCAAGCGACUGUUUAUCAAAAACACAGGUCUCUGCAAAAUCGAAAGAUGACGUAUAGGGGCUGACGCCUGCCCGGUGCUGGAAGGUUAAGAGGAGUGCUUAGCGUAAGCGAAGGUA
rnacentral:rRNA from 1 species